CGGGCGGCCGUGACCCUGCUGGAGUUUGGGGGCGACCUCCAGGCCCCCGGGGGGUCCCUGCGCCUCCUCUGCCGAGGGUCCGGGUUCAAUUUCGGACAGUUUGGAAUGGGAUGGAUGCGCCAGAGACCCGGGCAGGGGCUGGAAUACAUCGCCAGUAUCAGCAACACGGGUGGCGGCACCAACUACGCGCCAUCGGUGCAGGGUCGGUUCACGAUCUCCAGGGACGAGGGGCAGAGCUCGGUGACGCUGACCAUGAACAACCUCAAGGACGAGGAUUCUGGAUCCUAUUUCUGUGCCAAACGUGCUUACAGUGGUUAUAGUUAUGACCGGCUGUCCCCGACCCUUCUUCCAAACCUCAGCCCCUGA